AAGUCAUAACCACACAGAACAAAUUCCAAAUUCAAUUAAAUAUAUAAAUACAAAAUAAUUGAUCUCCUAGUCGGGGUUUCUCUUAUAAAAUAUUUAUUUAUUUAAUUUAUUUGGAAAAUUAAAAUAACAAAUAAUUAAUAAUAAUAUGGGGAUGUCUAAAAGUAUCAAAGUUAUUUUCUCUCUUGCUCUUAUAGUGUUCUUGGCUCUUGCAGCAACCAAGAUAGAUGCAAGAUACAUAGAUUAUCAUUCCCUUAGAGGUGGAGAUCACGGUUUCGGUUGUAGUAAAUUACACCCUAUCUUCUGCAAGAAGGAAGAAGCCAAUCCUUACACCAGAGGUUGCGAGCCUGGCCAACAUUGCCGUGACGAUCUAGGCGAAAAAAUCUACAUAAUGGCUGCUGGAUAUCAAUCUUUGGAACCAUCAAUCAACUGCCCAGCCCCCAAACCUCCACAAAAGCACCACCGCAAAGUAUGUGUAUGCUGGAAUCAGAGGAGCAGCAUGUGUGAACUUCUUCGGACAGUGACUAGGAGCAGCAUGUGUGAACUUCUUGGUGAUUCUUGACGAUCAAACGCUAUCAGCAUAGUUAUGCUUAAAGUGAACACCAUCGACAUCACCUGAGCUGUGGAGAGAACGCCUGGGCAAGCGACCAGCACUAACCUUCUUAACACACCGUCAAACCCACCGAUUUGGACACCACAACCAAGACGGAGCACCGAGCGACCCCACUCCGCAAGAUCUCGAAACCAAAACUCCUCCACACCUUCCCCGCCAUCCUCGAAUGGGAUCCUCACCUGGAAGGAGAAAUGCGGUCUCCCGCUUCUGUGUGAUAACCGUCGCUCGUCGCUCCCCUGUAGCUCGCCGGAUCCUCCCGUGGUUUUUGCUUUAGUUUUUUGUUUUUGUUUUCGUGGAAACCAUUUUUUAUCCAAUCAAUCAAGUUUUAGGUUUUUGUUUUUGUUUUUGUAAAAACUAUUUGAAUUGCAAAUCAAGAUUUUCAAUAAAUAGAUUUCUUAAAAUCUA